ACAGUGGGCCGGGUGGUCGCCCCCCGCCUGUGAGCGGGGGGAGGAAAGUCCGGGCUCCACCGGGCAGCGUGCUGGGUAACGCCCAGGCGGGGCGACCCGCGGAAAGUGGCACAGAAACCAUACCGCCGCCGGGAUUCCGGCGGUAAGGGUGAAAAGGUGGGGUAAGAGCCCACCAGCGGCAGGGCGACCUGCCGGCUGGCCAAACCCCACGCGGAGCAAGGCCAAAUAGGAGGGCGAGCCCCUUUUGGGGCCUAGGGAUGCCCGGCCCGAUGCCCUCGGGUAGGCCGCUUGAGCCUCUCCGUAAGGGGAGGCCCAGAUUGAUGACCACCGGUCGCCCCUUAGGGGGCGACUACAGAACCCGGCUUAUAGGCCCACUGCCCCC
rnacentral:RNase_P_RNA from 1 species